rnacentral:rRNA from 1 species
AUUGAACGCUGGCGGCAUGCCUUACACAUGCAAGUCGAACGGCAGCGCGGACUUCGGUCUGGCGGCGAGUGGCGAACGGGUGAGUGAUACAUCGGAACGUACCCUGUUGUGGGGGAUAACUAGUCGAAAGAUUAGCUAAUACCGCAUACGACCUGAGGGUGAAAGUGGGGGACCGCAAGGCCUCACGCAGCAGGAGCGGCCGAUGUCUGAUUAGCUAGUUGGUGGGGUAAAGGCCCACCAAGGCGACGAUCAGUAGCUGGUCUGAGAGGACGAUCAGCCAAACUGGGACUGAGACACGGCCCAGACUCCUACGGGAGGCAGCAGUGGGGAAUUUUGGACAAUGGGGGCAACCCUGAGCCAGCAAUGCCGCGUGUGUGAAGAAGGCCUUCGGGUUGUAAAGCACUUUUGUCCGGAAAGAAAUCGCGCUGGUUAAUACCUGGCGAGGAUGACGGUACCGGAAGAAUAAGCACCGGCUAACUACGUGCCAGCCGCCGCAGUAA